GACGAACGCUAGCGGCGUGCUUAACACAUGCAAGUCGAACGGAGUUCCUUGGAUAGAGGCUUCGGCCAAUUGAAUUGGAACUUAGUGGCGGACUGGUGAGUAACGCGUGAGGAACCUGCCUUUCAGAGGGGGACAACAGUUGGAAACGACUGCUAAUACCGCAUGACACAUUUGGGCGGCAUCGCUCGGAUGUCAAAGAUUUUAUCGCUGAAAGAUGGCCUCGCGUCUGAUUAGCUAGUUGGUGGGGUAACGGCCCACCAAGGCGACGAUCAGUAACCGGACUGAGAGGUUGACCGGCCACAUUGGGACUGAGAUACGGCCCAG
rnacentral:rRNA from 1 species